UCAAUGGCUAUGGAAGCCCAUUCCCGCCAGUUACUCCGACUUAGCUAAGUCGAAAUUCUGAUAUAGCUAAAUCGAAAUUCCGACUUAUCUAUGUCGAAAUUCCUACAUAGCUCAAAGUAUCUUGACGUAAGCCUGUCAAUCGGAAGUAGUUAUUCUUCUUCCUGUUUAGUUGUUUUUGGUGCGGAGACAGAGAGCUGUAGCAUCCUUUACUGUAGCGUAGCGUAGCGUGCACUGGAUAACAAACAUUGGAAUGCACUCAAAACGGACAACAGCCCUCUCAUGCCCGGCUACAUGAGAGCAACAUGAAGGAUGGAUGACCUAAGUGACUUCUUGAGACAGAGAAAUGUUCCUGAGGAAACCAUAGAGACCCUGGAACAUGAGAAGAUUGAUGCCAGCACCAUACUGCUGAUGAC